GAGUUCGGGGCAGUGUCGCAGACAACGAUCCUAUAUAGCUGGCUUGCUUGUCCUCUCGUUGAAUGCUCCUUGGACAGAUCUUUCCAGACCUACCUGUCGAGACGACUGUCUGUUGACGAGUCCGAGCGCCGAUAUCGUCACGCCAAGUGAAUGCUUGAAGACUGGAUAUUUGUGAGAGGAGAAUCGAGGCUUCCCACCGCAGAUACACACCGAGACGACACUGAAGCUAGUAUAGAACGUCUUGUGAACAACAUUCUUAGUUUCUCCUCGCAAGAACACGUCAGAAGACAUACCAAAUAUGAGAGCUGUACUGUGCAUAUGCGCCUUGGCGCUCUUCUGUGAGGCAGUCAUUGGCAUGCCCUACGUCGAUACAGACGAUGAAUUCGACGAUGCCCUGAUGACCAAACGGGUCGUGGACAUCUUGUCUCCAUCCUCACACUACCUGGACAAGCGGGACUCAAACGCGUGCCCACUAGACUGCUUUAGCUGUACCAAAUUCAUCCGCGACGUGGUCCCUAAUUCCUGCGUCAGAGGUUGCCGGAGGCUGGUUGGGGGCUCGAGUUAUAGCUCCGACCGUAAGGCGUGGAAUCGGUGCGCCACGUUCCUGUCGAGGCCCUUGGCUAGAUAAAGACUUCCCACUGAUAACUCUAGUAACAUUUACACACGUAUAGGAGACAGGACAUUCUAAGCUGGACAGGAUAAUGCGUUAAUGUUAUUUAAAUGUACCCUAAAUAUGUGGCUGUGCAUUUGGGCUCCUCUGCAAAAGAAACUAUUCAAUGGUAAAAUAUCGUCAGUGAUAGAGGGAGUGGGACAAGAAUUUGAAUUUCUAGUGGCCUAUCUAGCGGGUGGGGGGAGGAUACUAGUAGUAGUAAUCUCUCCCUUCACAAUAUUUAUGAACGAAAGAUUGCCCUGGUCUUUGACCUGAGUGCUACCGAAUUUGGUACAAGUCUGAUUUUUCUGGAGUCUCUUGUAUCCUGCUAGCUAAAAUAUUUAACCGGUGUUUUGAUGUACAGAUUUGUAGUAAAUUAUUCCAAUAUACGUUAAAAGAUAAGGAUUAUUAAACUUCUACUAACUCAGAAAAGAAAUAUACUCAACGUGUUUCGAAAUUUUGUGGCAUUUACGUAUACAGUACCACACUCUAUCGUCUGAACUUUUACCAAAAUUGAAAUAUCGUGGUAUAGAUUCUUUUGCGGAGGACAAAUCUUUCUCAAAGAUUGGACAAGUGAUCAUUCUAAUAAAUUUAAAGUAACUAAACACUGCUUUUACGUUAAAGGUUAUAUGAAAAUCACAUAUUGGCAAUAAACAAAGCAUUUCCCAAGUACAUUGUUAAAUAGAGAUUCGGAGAACAAAUUUAGUGUAGGUUUUCAAGGGACUUCAAAAUUAAUAUUGAUUUUAUGAAGUUAACAUUUUUUGGGGUAUUGGUUGGAUGAAAUAAAAGAAAUAUAAUUAAUUUUGGACAGUGCUUAACAAACUGCUCUUCCAAAUGAAACAUGUCCUCUACUUAUGUGAAUAUUAAUUAAAAAUGUUCAGUGAUGCGAUACCUAAAGUACAAUGUUUGUGCGUUUCUUGUAAAUGUAGGCCUAUGUAAUCCGUCGCAAAUAAGGUUGUUUGGUAGCGCACGUACACAGGUAGUAAUAUUUUACUUCAGUCAAGACACAUUGUAACAUGUACACAGAAAGAAACAACUGUAGAAUCUCAAAAUCAACGGCUACAAAAAGUGCUAGACUGGAUA